ACACAUGCAGUCGAGCGGGGAGGUUGCUUCGGUAACUAACCUAGCGGCGGACGGGUGAGUAAUGCUUAGGAAUCUGCCUAUUAGUGGGGGACAACAUUCCGAAAGGAAUGCUAAUACCGCAUACGCCCUACGGGGGAAAGCAGGGGAUCUUCGGACCUUGCGCUAAUAGAUGAGCCUAAGUCGGAUUAGCUAGUUGGUGGGGUAAAGGCCUACCAAGGCGACGAUCUGUAGCGGGUCUGAGAGGAUGAUCCGCCACACUGGGACUGAGACACGGCCCAGACUCCUACGGGAGGCAGCAGUGGGGAAUAUUGGACAAUGGGCGGAAGCCUGAUCCAGCCAUGCCGCGUGUGUGAAGAAGGCCUUUUGGUUGUAAAGCACUUUAAGCGAGGAGGAGGCUCCUUUAGUUAAUACCUAAAGAGAGUGGACGUUACUCGCAGAAUAAGCACCGGCUAACUCUGUGCCAGCAGCCGCGGUAAUACAGAGGGUGCGAGCGUUAAUCGGAUCUACUGGGCGUAAAGCGUGCGUAGGCGGCUUUUUAAGUCGGAUGUGAAAUCCCUGAGCUUAACUUAGGAAUUGCAUUCGAUACUGGAAAGCUAGAGUAUGGGAGAGGAUGGUAGAAUUCCAGGUGUAGCGGUGAAAUGCGUAGAGAUCUGGAGGAAUACCGAUGGCGAAAGGCAGCCAUCUGGCCUAAUACUGACGCUGAGG
rnacentral:rRNA from 1 species